UUGAUCAUGGCUCAGAAUCCCGCUGGGUGUNCGUGCCUAACACAUGCAAGUCGAGCGCGAAAGGGAGCUUCGGCUCCUGAGUAGAGCGGCGGACGGGUGAGUAACACGUGGGCAACCUGCCUCCGGGUGGGAAUAACCUCGGGAAACCGGGGCUAAUUCCGCAUAACAUUUCGGGCUCUCAAGAGUCCGUAAUCAAAGCUGGGGACCCUUCGGGGCCUGGCGCCUGGGGAGGGGCCCGCGCCCGAUUAGCUAGUUGGUGGGGUAAUGGCUCACCAAGGCUGCGAUCGGUAGCCGGCCUGAGAGGGCGGACGGCCGCACUGGGACUAGAGACACGGCCCAGACUCCUACGGGAGGCAGCAGUGGGGAAUUUUUGUCAAUGGGGGAAACCCUGAACAAGCAACGCCGCGUGGAGGAUGAAGGCUUUCGGGUCGUAAACUCCUGU
rnacentral:rRNA from 1 species